rnacentral:rRNA from 1 species
UACAGAGGGUGCGAGCGUUAAUCGGAAUUACUGGGCGUAAAGCGCGCGUAGGCGGCUUUGCAAGUCGGGUGUGAAAUCCCCAGGCUUAACCUGGGAACUGCAUUCGAGACUGCAUUGCUAGAGUAUGGGAGAGGGAAGUGGAAUUUCCGGUGUAGCGGUGAAAUGCGUAGAUAUCGGAAGGAACAUCAGUGGCGAAAGCGGCAUCCUGGACCGGCAUUGACGCUGAGGCGCGAAAGCUAGGGGAGCAAACGGG